rnacentral:rRNA from 1 species
GGCCCUACGGGGCGCAGCAGGCGCGAAAACUUUGCAAUGCGGGAAACCGUGACAAGGGAACUCUGAGUGCCCGUAAAAUCGGGCUGUCCAUCAGUUUAAACAACUGGUGAAGAAAGGGCCGGGCAAGACCGGUGCCAGCCGCCGCGGUAAUACCGGCGGCUCGAGUGGUGGCCACUAUUACUGGGCUUAAAGCGUUCGUAGCUGGUCUGUUAAGUCCCUGGGGAAAUCUUCCGGCUUAACCGGAAGGCGUCUCAGAGAUACUGGCAGACUAGGGACCGGAAGAGGUGAGAGGUACUCCAGGGGUAGGAGUGAAAUCCUGUAAUCCUUGGGGGACCACCUGUGGCGAAGGCGUCUCACCAGAACGGCUCCGACAGUGAGGGACGAAAGCUGGGGGAGCAAACCGGAUUAGAUACCCGGGUAGUCCUAGCUGUAAACGAUGCGCGUUGGGUGUAUCAGUGACCACGAGUUACUGAGGUGCCGAAGAGAAAUCGUGAAACGCGCCGCCUGGGAAGUACGGUCGCAAGGCUGAAACU